rnacentral:misc_RNA from 1 species
UAUUAUUAUUGUUAUUAUUAUUUUCAUGUUCCUUUAAUUCAGAAGUUCAAAACUUGAAGCCACUGUAAAUUGGGCGUUGUAUUCGUAUUGCUCUUUUAAUUUUCAAAGUUUUAGCAGUCUUUGAAGGUUGAAGAAAAAUUGUGGGCAGCGUGGUGGAAUUUCUUGUCUAGGCUUUCCAACUUCGGUUGUAGCCUCAAACAUGCUUUUAAUAUUGUACUGUGGAUUUCAUCUAAG